UACGGAAGGCAGCAGUGGGGAAUAUUGCACAAUGGGCGCAAGCCUGAUGCAGCCAUGCCGCGUGUAUGAAGAAGGCCUUCGGGUUGUAAAGUACUUUCAGUCGUGAGGAAGGUGUUAAGGUUAAUAACCUUAGCAAUUGACGUUAGCGACAGAAGAAGCACCGGCUAACUCCGUGCCAGCAGCCGCGGUAAUACGGAGGGUGCGAGCGUUAAUCGGAAUUACUGGGCGUAAAGGGCACGCAGGCGGUUAAUUAAGUUGGAUGUGAAAUCCCCGGGCUUAACCUGGGAAUGGCAUUCAAGACUGGUUAGCUAGAGUCUUGUAGAGGGGGUAGAAUUCCAUGUGUAGCGGUGAAAUGCGUAGAGAUGUGGAGGAAUACCGGUGGCGAAGGCGGCCCCUGGGACAAAGCUGACGCUCAUGCGCGAAAGCGUGGGGAGCAAACAGGAUUAGAUACC
rnacentral:rRNA from 1 species